UACGUAGGGUGCGAGCGUUUAAUCGGAAUUACUGGGCGUAAAGCGUGCGCAGGCGGUAAUGCAAGACAGAUGUGAAAUCCCAGGGCUUAACCUUGGAACUGCAUUUGUGACUGCAUUGCUGGAGUGCGGCAGAGGGGGAUGGAAUUCCGCGUGUAGCAGUGAAAUGCGUAGAUAUGCGGAGGAACACCGAUGGCGAAGGCAAUCCCCUGGGCCUGCACUGACGCUCAUGCACGAAAGCGUGGGGAGCAAACAGG
rnacentral:rRNA from 1 species